AGAGUUUGAUCAUGGCUCAGAAUCAACGCUGGCGGCGUGCCUCAGACAUGCAAGUCGAACGCGAAAGUUCCCUUCGGGGGGCGAGUAGAGUGGCGCACGGGUGAGUAACACGUAGGUAAUCUACCUUCGGAUGGGGAAUAACAACCGGAAACGGUUGCUAAUACCGCAUAAUGCAGCGGCACCUAAUGGUGACAGUUGUUAAAGCGGGGGAUCGUAAGACCUCGCGUCUGGAGAGGAGCCUGCGGCGGAUUAGCUAGUUGGUAAGGUAACGGCUUACCAAGGCUAUGAUCCGUAGCCGGCCUGAGAGGGCGGUCGGCCACACUGACACUGACAUACGGGUCAGACUCCUACGGGAGGCAGCAGUCGGGAAUUUUGGGCAAUGGGCGAAAGCCUGACCCAGCAACGCCGCGUGAAGGAUGAAAUCCUUCGGGAUGUAAACUUCGCAAGAACGGGAAGAAUAAGCCGGUAUUAACACCACCGGUGAUGACGGUACUGUUUGUAAGCUCCGGCUAACUCCGUGCCAGCCGCCGCGGUAAUUC
rnacentral:rRNA from 1 species